UCUUGGACCUCCCUCCAGAGCUGUGAGAAAAUACACUUCUGUUCUCAAUUACCCAGAAUGAGGCAUUUUGUUAUAGUAGCACAAAUGGACUGAGACAGUAACUAAGUAUCUACCUUUGCAUUCUUAUCUUAGGCUUUCCAUCCUUGGAGGCGGUGAUGGUUAAUACUGAGUGGCAACUUGAUUGGAUUAAAGGAUGCAAAGUCUUGAUCCUGAGUGUGUCUGUGAGGGUGUUGCCAAAGGAGAUUAACAUUUGAGUCAGUGGGCUGGGGAAGGCAGACCUACCUUUAAUCUGGUGUGCACAAUCUAAUCAGCUGCCAGAGAAUAUGAACAGGCAGAAAAAUGUGAAAAGGUGAGACUGGCCUAGACUCCAAGACUAUAUAUUUCUCCCAUGCUGGAUGCUUCCUGCCCUCAAACUUCAGACUCCAGGUUCUUCAGCUUUGAGAAUCGGACUGGCUCUACUUGCUACCCAAGCUUGCAGACAGCUUGUGAUUGGGAGCCCACCAGGCUUGAGUUGCCAGAGCCCAUGCUCCCCACCACAAAGAAAAAGGGGUUCUUGGGCCAAGAGAAGGAGGCCAUGAUUUAAGGAGAAGCAAAGGCAAGAAGACACAAAAGGCAGUCAAAGGGAGUGCCAGGUCCCAGCUGCCUGAAGCCUUAGAUCCCAUCACUUUCCUUUGACUGAACUUCUCCAGGCUCUUCCCAGAUUCAUCCAAACUAAGGAAAACAGCAGAACUUUGUCAAGGACCUUUCCUGGGUUCCGACUUAUACCUAAGGCAGGCUUUCUAGAGAUGUACAUCAACAUCAGAACACAGGAGAGAUCAAGAAGAGAGAAUCUGACAUUCGAGUUUCUGUUGUCACCUCUUGCCCUCCUACUCCCUCAUUCUGCCUUGAGUCCAUCCCCUAACCUCAGUACAACUUCAUUAUGCUACUGGAGCAUUUCAGAGGGACAGAUGCUGAGGACACUCCAGAAGACGCAGACAAAUAUUUAUAUAACCUGUGCUGUUUUAGGUCCUCCUAGGGCAAAUGAACCCAAAAUCAUGGCAAGAGAGACACAGGUAGAGAAAUGAGGUGAGAGAGAGGCAGAGCAACAGGAAAUAAACCUACUUCUAAAUAAAGGCUGAUUUGCCACAAAGGCAAUGAAACUUAAGCUUUCAGAGCUUUUCUUUCUUUUUUU
rnacentral:lncRNA from 10 species